CCUACGGGAGGCAGCAGUGGGGAAUAUUGCACAAUGGGCGAAAGCCUGAUGCAGCAACGCCGCGUGAAGGAUGAAGGGUUUCGGCUCGUAAACUUCUAUCAACAGGGACGAAAAAAAUGACGGUACCUGAAUAAGAAGCCCCGGCUAACUACGUGCCAGCAGCCGCGGUAAUACGUAGGGGGCAAGCGUUAUCCGGAAUUACUGGGUGUAAAGGGAGAGUAGGCGGCAUGAUAAGUUAGAUGUGAAAGCCCGAGGCUUAACCUCGGGAUUGCAUUUAAAACUAUCAAGCUAGAGUACAGGAGAGGUAAGUGGAAUUCCUAGUGUAGCGGUGAAAUGCGUAGAUAUUAGGAAGAACACCAGUGGCGAAGGCGACUUACUGGACUGAAACUGACGCUGAGGCUCGAAAGCGUGGGGAGCGAACAGGAUUAGAUACCCCAGUA
rnacentral:rRNA from 1 species